UACGUAGGGUGCGAGCGUUGUCCGGAAUUAUUGGGCGUAAAGAGCUUGUAGGCGGUUUGUCGCGUCUGCCGUGAAAAUCCGAGGCUCAACCUCGGACUUGCGGUGGGUACGGGCAGACUAGAGUGUGGUAGGGGAGACUGGAAUUCCUGGUGUAGCGGUGAAAUGCGCAGAUAUCAGGAGGAACACCGAUGGCGAAGGCAGGUCUCUGGGCCACUACUGACGCUGAGGAGCGAAGGCGUGGGGAGCGAACAGG
rnacentral:rRNA from 1 species